UGCAGAUAUCAUCGUUUUUGCCGAUGUUCAUGCACUCUGACGACGACUUUAGUGGAGUUUAUCUAACACAAUCAGACUACGAUCUCGUAGCCGCAGCCAUUAGAAAAAACAAGCCGCCGACACAAGCUGAUUUCGAAACACAGACUCUAGUAGAUGUCUCUGGACGACAUUUUGAAGUACCAGAGGCGGCAGAGCCAACCGCAUCAGAGCCAGCGGAACCAAUCGCAUCAGAGUCACGUGCUACCAUUGAGACCAAUCAACUCACGCCCCUCGCCGACCGACAGGAAGUUGUCACGAACAUAGAGGUGGAGCCGGAAGCAUUCACGGACACAGAAUUGGCGGACGCUUUAUCUGCAUACGAAGGCGUGAACCACCCUUAUGAGUCGACAAACAAAGUUAGAGUUAAGCGUCGUGACACAGGGCGAGGGGUUCAAAGAGGAAGGAGGAGGAGGAGGGCGGCAGCCGUCUACAACACGAGCCAUCCACACCGGCACGCGAGAGUCAUCACAAUAAGAAUAGAAGGCGUCCAGUAA